rnacentral:rRNA from 1 species
AUUGAACGCUGGCGGCAGGCCUAACACAUGCAAGUCGAACGAGUGGCGGACGGGUGAGUAAUGUCUGGGAAACUGCCUGAUGGAGGGGGAUAACUACUGGAAACGGUAGCUAAUACCGCAUACCAUCAGAUGUGCCCAGAUGGGAUUAGCUUGUUGGUGGGGUAACGGCUCACCAGGGCGACGAUCCCUAGCUGGUCUGAGAGGAUGACCGGCCACACGGGAACUGGGCAACGGUCCGAACUCCAACGGGGGGCAGCGGUGGGGAACAUUGCACAAUGGGCGAAGGCCGGAUGCGGCCAUGCCGCGUGUAUGAAGAGGGCCUUCGGGUUGUAAAGUACGUUCAGCGGGGAGGCGUUACCCACAGAGGAAGCACCGGCUAACUCCGUGCCAGCAGCCGCGGUAAUAC